AUUGAACGCUGGCGGCAGGCCUAACACAUGCAAGUCGAACGAGUGGCGGACGGGUGAGCAAUGUCUGGGAAACUGCCUGAGGGAGGGGGAUAACUACUGGAAACGGUAGCUAAUACCGCAUACCAUCAGAUGUGCCCAGAUGGGAUUAGCUAGUUGGUGGGGUAACGGCCUACCAAGGCGACGAUCCCUAGCUGGUCUGAGAGGAUGACCAGCCACACUGGAACUGAGACACGGUCCAGACUCCUACGGGAGGCAGCAGUGGGGAAUAUUGGACAAUGGGCGCAAGCCUGAUGCAGCCAUGCCGCGUGUAUGAAGAAGGUCUUCGGAUUGUAAAGUACUUUCAGCGGGGAGGCGUUACCAACAGAAGAAGCACCGGCUAACUCCGUGCCAGCAGCCGCGGUAAUAC
rnacentral:rRNA from 1 species